rnacentral:rRNA from 1 species
AUUGAACGCUGGCGGCAUGCCUUACACAUGCAAGUCGAACGGCAGCACGGGAGUAAUCCUGGUGGCGAGUGGCGAACGGGUGAGUAAUACAUCGGAACGUGCCCAGUAGUGGGGGAUAGCCCGGCGAAAGCCGGAUUAAUACCGCAUACGACCUACGGUGAAAGCGGGGAUCGCAAGACCUCGCGCUAUCGGAGCGGCCGAUGUCAGAUUAGGUUGUUGGUGGGGUAAAGGCCUACCAAGCCGACGAUCUGUAGCUGGUCUGAGAGGACGACCAGCCACACUGGGACUGAGACACGGCCCAGACUCCUACGGGAGGCAGCAGUGGGGAAUUUUGGACAAUGGGGCAACCCUGAUCCAGCCAUGCCGCGUGCGGGAAGAAGGCCU